rnacentral:rRNA from 2 species
GACGAACGCUGGCGGCGUGCCUAACACAUGCAAGUCGAGCGAGAGGCCCAUAACAGAUUCCUUCGGGAUGACGACUUGGGUCUUCUAGCGGCGGAUGGGUGAGUAACGCGUGAGAAAUUUGCCUUUCACAAGGGAAUAGCCUCGGGAAACCGGGAUUAAUACCCUAUGAUACUGAAGAUUCGCAUGAAUUUUUGGUUAAAACGUAAAGUGGUGAAAGAUGAUCUCGCGUCCCAUUAGCUAGUUGGUGAGAUAAAAGCUCACCAAGGCAACGAUGGGUAACCGGCCUGAGAGGGUGAACGGUCACACUGGAACUGAGACACGGUCCAGACUCCUACGGGAGGCAGCAGUGGGGAAUCUUGCACAAUGGAGGAAACUCUGAUGCAGCGACGUCGCGUGAAUGAUGAAUGUCUUCGGAUAGUAAAGUUCUGUCCUUGGGGAAAUAAUGAUGGUACCCAAGGAGGAAGCCCCGGCUAACUACGUGCCAGCAGCCGCCGUAAU